rnacentral:rRNA from 1 species
AGAGUUUGAUCCUGGCUCAGAACGAACGUUGGCGGCGUGGAUUAGGCAUGCAAGUCGGGGGAAUCCCAGCAAUGGGGGAACCGGCGUAAGGGGCAGUAAGGCAUGGGUACCUACCCUAGGGUUCGGGAUAGCCAUCAGAGAUGGUGGGUAAUACCGGAUGAUGUCGUGAGACCAAAGAUUUAUCGCCCUGGGAGGGGCCCAUGUGAUAUUAGCUUGUUGGUGAGGUAAUGGCUCACCAAGGCAAAGAUGUCUAGCGGGUGUGAGAGCACGACCCGCGCCACUCGCACUGAGACACUGGCGAGACACCUACGGGUGGCUGCAGUCGAGGAUCUUCGGCAAUGAGCGCAAGCUUGACCGAGCGACGCCGCGUGUGCGAUGAAGGCCUUCGGGUUGUAAAGCACUGUCGAGGGGGAGAAAAGGGAAACCUUGAUCUAUCCCUGGAGGAAGCACGGGCUAAGUUCGUGCCAGCAGCCGCGGUAAGACGAACCGUGCGAACGUUGUUCGGAAUCACUGGGCUUAAAGGGCGCGUAGGCGGGCUGUCAAGUCUGGGGUGAAAUCCCGCGGCUCAACCGUGGAACUGCCUUAGAUACUGACGGCCUCGAGGGAGGUAGGGGCGAGCGGAACUGUGAGUGGAGCGGUGAAAUGCGUUGAUAUUCACAGGAACUCCGGUGGCGAAGGCGGCUCGCUGGCCCUCUUCUGACGCUGAUGCGCGAAAGCUAGGGGAGCAAACGGGAUUAGAUACCCCAGUAGUCC